AGCUCCAAUAGCGUAUAUUAAAGUUGUUGCGGUUAAAAAGCUCGUAGUUGGAUUUCUUCCAGGGGCAGUCGGUCCACACUAUGUGUGCGUAUCUGAUUUGACUUUGGAAUCCUCUUGGGGAACAUUUGUGCGCUUCAUUGCGUGCUAUGGUAUUCAAGACUUUUACUUUGAGGAAAUUAGAGUGUUCACGGCAGGCAAUCGCCCUGAAUACAUUAGCAUGGAAUAAUAAUAUAGGACUUUGGUUCUAUUUUGUUGGUUUCUAGAGCUAAAGUAAUGAUUAAUAGGGACACUUGGGGGCAUUCGUAUUAUCACGUCAGAGGUGGAAUUCUUGGAUUGUGUUACGACGAACUACUGCGAAAGCAUUUGCCAAGGAUGUUUUCA
rnacentral:rRNA from 1 species